UCGAGCGGACAGAUGGGAGCUUGCUCCCUGAUGUUAGCGGCGGACGGGUGAGUAACACGUGGGUAACCUGCCUGUAAGACUGGGAUAACUCCGGGAAACCGGGGCUAAUACCGGAUGGUUGUUUGAACCGCAUGGUUCAAACAUAAAAGGUGGCUUCGGCUACCACUUACAGAUGGACCCGCGGCGCAUUAGCUAGUUGGUGAGGUAACGGCUCACCAAGGCAACGAUGCGUAGCCGACCUGAGAGGGUGAUCGGCCACACUGGGACUGAGACACGGCCCAGACUCCUACGGGAGGCAGCAGUAGGGAAUCUUCCGCAAUGGACGAAAGUCUGACGGAGCAACGCCGCGUGAGUGAUGAAGGUUUUCGGAUCGUAAAGCUCUGUUGUUAGGGAAGAACAAGUACCGUUCGAAUAGGGCGGUACCUUGACGGUACCUAACCAGAAAGCCACGGCUAACUACGUGCCAGCAGCCGCGGUAAUACGUAGGUGGCAAGCGUUGUCCGGAAUUAUUGGGCGUAAAGGGCUCGCAGGCGGUUUCUUAAGUCUGAUGUGAAAGCCCCCGGCUCAACCGGGGAGGGUCAUUGGAAACUGGGGAACUUGAGUGCAGAAGAGGAGAGUGGAAUUCCACGUGUAGCGGUGAAAUGCGUAGAGAUGUGGAGGAACACCAGUGGCGAAGGCGACUCUCUGGUCUGUAACUGACGCUGAGGAGCGAAAGCGUGGGGAGCGAACAGGAUUAGAUAC
rnacentral:rRNA from 1 species